UAGGGAAUCUUCGGCAAUGGGGGGAACCCUGACCGAGCAACGCCGCGUGAGUGAAGAAGGUUUUCGGAUCGUAAAGCUCUGUUGUUAAGGAAGAACGAGUGUGAGAAUGGAAAGUUCAUACUGUGACGGUACUUAACCAGAAAGGGACGGCUAACUACGUGCCAGCAGCCGCGGUAAUACGUAGGUCCCGAGCGUUGUCCGGAUUUAUUGGGCGUAAAGCGAGCGCAGGCGGUUAGAUAAGUCUGAAGUUAAAGGCAGUGGCUCAACCAUUGUAGGCUUUGGAAACUGUUUAACUUGAGUGCAGAAGGGGAGGGUGGAAUUCCAUGUGUAGCGGUGAAAUGCGUAGAUAUAUGGAGGAACACCGGUGGCGAAAGCGGCUCUCUGGUCUGUAACUGACGCUGAGGCUCGAAGGCGUGGGGAGCGAACAGG
rnacentral:rRNA from 1 species